rnacentral:ncRNA from 2 species
UUUAUGUGCUAGGGGUGUCGAAAGGCUGAGAAAUGGAUAUUACCAUUACCCUCAUACCUGAUCUGGGUCAUACCAGCGUAGGGAAGCAGUAAUAAUUUCUU